rnacentral:rRNA from 1 species
CAAUACAUGGGUGGCGACCGGCGCACGGGUGCGUAACACGUAUGGAAUCUGCCCUUUACUGGAGGAUAGCCCGGAGAAAUCCGGAUUAAUACUCCAUAACAAGCGAGGUGGCAUCAUCUUGCUUUGAAAACUCCGGCGGUAAAGGAUGACCAUGCGCACGAUUAGCUAGUUGGUGAGGUAACGGCUCACCAAGGCGACGAUCGUUAGGGGGCCUGAGAGGGUUAUCCCCCACACUGGUACUGAGACACGGACCAGACUCCUACGGGAGGCAGCAGUGAGGAAUAUUGCGCAAUGGAGGCAACUCUGACGCAGCCAUGCCGCGUGCAGGAAGAAGGCGCUACGCGUUGUAAACUGCUUUUAUCCGGGAAGAAACCCCUCUACGUGUGGAGGGUUGACGGUACCGGAGGAAUAAGCACCGGCUAACUUCGUGCCAGCAGCCGCGGUAAUACGAAGGGUGCAAGCGUUAUCCGGAUUCAUUGGGUUUAAAGGGUGCGUAGGUGGGGCGUUAAGUCAGUGGUGAAAUCCUGCAGCUCAACUGUAGACUUGCCAUUGAUACUGGCGCUCUUGAGUGCGCUUGAAGUAGGCGGAAUGUGCCGUGUAGCGGUGAAAUGCUUAGAUAUGGCACAGAACACCAAUUGCGAAGGCAGCUUACUAAGGCGAUACUGACACUGAGGCACGAAAGCGUGGGGAUCGAACAGGAUUAGAUACCCUGGUAGUCCACGCCGUAAACGAUGAUCACUCGAGAUUGGCGAUAUACGGUCAGUCUCCUAGCGAAAGCGUUAAGUGAUCCACCUGGGGAGUACGAUCGCAAGAUUGAAACUC